GACGAACGCUGGCGGCGUGCUUAACACAUGCAAGUCGAACGAAGUGGCGAACGGGUGAGUAACGCGUAAUCAACCUGCCCUUCAGAGGGGGACGACAGUUGGAAACGACUGCUAAUACCGCAUACUGAAGGAGGGGAUGGCGUCUGAUUAGCUGGUUGGAGGGGUAACGGCCCACCAAGGCGAUGAUCAGUAGCCGGUCUGAGGAGAUGAACGGCCACAGUGGGACUGAGAAACGGCCCAGACCCCUACGGGAGGCAGCAGUGGGGAAAUUUUGGCAAAUGGGGAAAGGCUGACGGAGACAAGCCGCGUUGGUGGUGACGGCCUUCGGGUUGGAAAGCUCUGUUAAUCGGGACGCGGUACCGGAAUAGAAAGCCACGGCUAACUCCGUGCCAGCAGCCGCGGUAAUAC
rnacentral:rRNA from 1 species